rnacentral:rRNA from 1 species
AUACGGAGGAUCCAAGCGUUAUCCGGAUUUAUUGGGUUUAAAGGGUGCGCAGGUGGCUUUGUAAGUCAGUGGUGAAAGUCUGCCGCUUAACGGUAGGAUUGCCAUUGAUACUGCGGAGCUUGAGUUUGGAUGAGGUAGGCGGAAUGAGUAGUGUAGCGGUGAAAUGCAUAGAUAUUACUCAGAACACCGAUUGCGAAGGCAGCUUACUAAUCCACAACUGACACUGAGGCACGAAAGCGUGGGGAUC